CUUUCUUCCCGCCCGUCCGAGAGGGACUGGGCUGGAGAAGCCUCUCCUGACAUCCCUGCGAAUAUUGCUGCAGAACGGAGUCCGCACGACCUCCGCAGCUCCCACAGCGUGGCAAUAGAACACAGUCUGGCAUCACCUUAGCUCUGUUUCUUGAUUCCCCUGUUGCUACUGAAAAGAUGGAGAAGAAAACAGGAGAGGAAGUGGGCCAUCAUGGCAAGGGGUUCUGCGUCUCUGUCCUGGUCAAUGUCCCCGGUGUAGGAUGGGCUGCCCGAUAAGCUCUGCUCCCGAUGCUCAGCUCGGGAGAUGCGCUGGGAGAGCUCUGAAACAUUUUGACAACAGGCGUUUAAGCACCCAGACUGCGAGGUUUUAAUGAGGAUGCUGGUGUCCCAGCUAGGCGGAUUGGUGUUCCGGCAGCAUUGGAAUCGGCGCCAGCAGCACUGUCCAUCUGUCCGUCCAUUCGUCUGCAAGGCACUGCACAGAGGGGAGACGCGGUGGGAGUGGGACAAGAAUUGCAAUAUGUGCACAGGGCAAAAAAGAGCGAAAACCGUUGUUUUGGUGUCAAAACAGUCAUCGCAUUUUGAGGUGGUACCAGAACAGAAGGACAACAUCCUUCCCAGAAGGAUAAACGUACAAAGGCCACCACCAUGUCUUCUUUCCUAGAACCCCAUCCAUUCUGUCGUGGCUUUUAAUCUUUAUUUUUCCACUGCCUGUAGUGAAAGCGACCCUCAGAUAAUCUGAUCGGACCUUUGGCUGAGAUGCCUAUGCUAAGAGAAAUAACUCGAAAUUGUUAUCCUAUUGAAGGGCAGUGAAGUUUGCACUCGGGUUUUGCUAUGUGAUAGAUGUAGCCCAGUUUUGUGUAUUUCCCUCCGUGUGCAUCGCUGGUGCCAUCAGCACAGGCAGCACGGCAGGUAAAACACGCGAGGG